AAUAAAGUGAAAAUUUGAAAUAAAAGGAAAAAUGACAUUACCUUGGUUUAUUUGUUUGCUCUUACCAAAUCAAUUAUCAUCAAUUUAUUACCACAACCAAAUUGAAGGAAGGGAGGAGGAGGAGCAGCCUCCCCUUCCGUUCUUCUUCCUCUCUUGUAAACUUCAAAUUCAUGCUACCAGCUCUUUUUUUUUCUUCUUCUUCUUAGACACAACUUCCAUUUUUAGUCCUUUAAAAAAAAACUAAUUUCGUUAAAUUUCAGUCCAUCUGCCAACUUAUUAUGGAUUUUGGGAAUUCUUGUUUCUUUUUCUUAAAUCAUUCUUCAUUUGGUUUAUCUUAUUGUGCUUGCUUUAAUUCAUCUGCCAAAUCAUCCAUUUUCUGUUUUGGAAGUAGGUUCCCAGAGCCCAAGAUCUCAAACUUUAUCUUGAAACCCUCUUCUUCGUCCAAAUUUACUGCUGCCUCGUCUCCCUUUAGAGAAGACGCUUGAUCCUCUUCCAUUUUUACCUUUCGUUUUUUUUUUCUCUUGCUUUAGUGAUAGACUAUAUGUUAGCUCUAUUUUCCGCGUUUCCCCAGAGCAAUUUGCUAGCCAAGACAAAGAAGCGAAAUGUUGUGCACAUCCUAUUGCGUGCCAGCAUCAGCUAUGGCUUCUCCAACAUUUCCUGAUCAUUGCUUUAUCAGGUAUGAUCACCAUCAUCAUGAUAACAAGGACUUGAGGAGAUGGAAGAUUAGGACCACUGCUGCUACUUCAGCUUCUGCUUACCCUCUCUUUUCCAAUCAGAUUCAGCUAACUAAAGACUCUUCUUCCCGUCACAAAUUUUUCCAGGAGGCUCUUAAGACUGCUAGGGACAAGUUCACUUGGGAGAUCUCCUUCCAGUCCAACGACAAAGACAUCUCUCUUGCUAAGGCUUUGCUUUAUGUUGCAGCUGAAGAUGAAGCAUUCAUGGGUUUCAACCGAGAAAUGGACGCUUGCUCCCUCCUGAAUGAAGGGAUAAAUGUUGCCACCAUAUCUGAUACCAAAGAGUGGGAUUCUGUGGAGCGAAUGCCUUUGGGUGGAAAGCCCAUAUCUGAGUGGCUGAAUGAGUUGGAUGAAAUUGCUAAAGAAGUUGAAGCAAAGCUAGUUUCAAGAGACUUAGGCUGCCAUGUGGUUGAAGUUUUGGAGGCUGUCAAUUUAGUUCUUUUUGAGUUAAGAGGCUUCAAAAGAUCCCCUGUUCUUGUAGAGUCUAAGCAUUCUUACUUACACUUAGUACUGAGCUCUGGAUGUGGCAGUGCAAUUUUGCUUAGCAUAAUUUACAUUGAAGUUUGUUGGCGACUUGAUCUAACCAUUGUUGGAUCUCAAGUUGGGGAAGAUUUUUUGAUAUGGCCCCUGACAGGGUACCUGGAGGAGCUCUUCAAAGUGACUUCAGGACACAGCUUGUUCUCUAUUAUCAAUGGAAGGUGUGUGGAGGACCCCAGAUCAAUGGCAUCAGAUUUAACUGGUACUUCACUUUUAGGGCUUGAGAUAGCUACAAACCGUGAUAUUAUUGGGAUUGCUCUAGCCAAUUUAAUUAGGCUUCACCGGAAACGUACUUCAAGAUCAAAUUAUGGGUUGAUGCUGACUUCUCCCCUUAGGCAUGUUCAUGAUGCUGAUGAGAAACCUAACAAGAUUGAUAAAUCAAAUGCUCCUUUGUUGCAGCCUCAAGAUCUUAGAUAAAAAUUCUAAUUUAUCUUUUUUAUUUUAGUAGCAUAACUUUCUUCCCAAUAUUUUCUUCUAUGUCGCAGCUUUAAUCAUGUUCUUAUGAAACCUUUGACUGUUUUGAACUGCCUAGGCAUUUGAAGCUUAAGAUGAGAUGUUCUGUGUAAUUGGCACCAUAUAUUAUGUAAAGGCCAUGCUCUGCAACUUUGGUAUGUUUAAUUUUAUCUGCUGUAUUGAAUUUUAUUACUAUUGUAAUAGACAAGGUGGUUUGCAUUACUUGUUGAUCUUGUGAAGGUGAGUUGCAUAUUCAUCCAUAUUCUUUCACUAUUCUUUCUAAAUGCACUUCACAAGGACGGUAUCUCUGAUAAGAAUGGCAACCUGGUGAGCUUGGGCUGGCAUUAAUUUCCUCAUGCUGCUCUACCUAGAAAACACUUUCCCUAUGCAUACAUUUUUCCCACUAUUUAUGGUACAACAUGGGUGGUAAAUGUAAUAUUGACAUGUUUGCAAGGAGAUUUUUGUAUUUUGCUCACAUUCUUUUUAGUUGAAUACUGUAACCUCUAUUUCUAAUUUAUAGUGACACUUGGUUGUGGGAUUAGGCUUUCGUUCCAAUAAAUCAUUGACUGGUAAGGAGCUGCUGUAUCUAAGAAUCAUAAAACCUUGUGGAUUAUGUAGAGAAUAUGCUUUUUUAUUGGUUCAUCUGACUCUUUUAUGAGAAAUCAGAACCUGCUGGUAUUUUGAACAGUUUUACCUUUAUGUACACUUUCUGACCGACAAGCUUAAUACCAAAUUAAUUUGGUAAGGAUGUGAUAUCUGAUACGAAGGACGGUUGAAGGCUGGCUAUCGUGGCUUCAGAAAGAAUGUCGAUUCUGCAGCCACAUAACCGGGCGCUAAGGAGAGACCAUGGGAUGAUGCUGUAUUAUAAUAGG